rnacentral:rRNA from 1 species
GAUGAACGCUGGCGGCGUGCCUAAUACAUGCAAGUCGAGCGAACAGACGAGGAGCUUGCUCCUCUGACGUUAGCGGCGGACGGGUGCGUAACACGUGGAUAACCUACCUAUAAGACUGGGAUAACUUCGGGAAACCGGAGCUAAUACCGGAUAAUAUAUUGAACCGCAUGGUUCAAUAGUGAAAGACGGUUUUGCUGUCACUUAUAGAUGGAUCCGCGCCGCAUUAGCUAGUUGGUAAGGUAACGGCUUACCAAGGCAACGACGCGUAGCCGACCUGAGAGGGUGAUCGGCCAGCCUGGAACUGAGACACGGUCCAGACUCCUACGGGAGGCAGCAGUAGGGAAUCUUCCGCGAAGGGCGAAAGCCUGACGGAGCAACGCCGCGUGAGUGAUGAAGGUCUUCGGAUCGUAAAACUCUGUUAUUAGGGAAGAACAAAUGUGUAAGUAACUAUGCACGUCUUGACGGUACCUAAUCAGAAAGCCACGGCUAACUACGUG